rnacentral:sRNA from 1 species
GCCGGGUGCAGUGGUGCACACCUGUAAUCCCAGCAGCUAGGGAGACUGAGGCAGGAGGAUUGCAGUUCAAAGUGAGCCUCAGCAACUUAGUGAGGCCCUAAGAAACUCAGUGAGACCCUGUCUCUA